AGCUGAGGAAAAAAAACCAACAGGGAUUGCCCUAGUAACGGCGAGUGAACAGGCAAGAGCUCAGAUUUGAAAGGCACUUUUGUGCCGUUGUAUUCUGAAGUUAGGGUCCUGAGAAACGAUGCUUAAGUCUUCUGGAAAGGAGCGCCAUGGAGGGUGAUAGCCCCGUCUAGCAUUGACCUCAUAUAGGAUCUUAACAUGGAGUCGAGUUGUUUGGGAAUGCAGCUCAAAUGGGUGGUAUGCUCCAUCUAAAGCUAAAUAUCUGCGAGAGACCGAUAGUAAACAAGUACUGUGAGGGAAAGAUGAAAAGAACUUUGAAAAGAGAGUGAAAAAGUACGUGAAAUUGUUGAAAUGGAAGGGUAGGCCGCUAACCAUGUAGAGCCGUGUUUGGGGGGAAGAUAAAUGCUGUAGAAUGUAGCUCCUCGGAGUAUUAUAGAUGCAGUUCAUAUUCCCACCCGAGCGCGAGGAUCUCAGGUUCUACUAAAUGGUGGUCUACCACCCGUCUUGAACCACGGGACCA
rnacentral:rRNA from 1 species